UCCAUCGAUCAUCAUUCUAAUUGAUAUCCAAAAUGGCAGUGAGGUAACGAGUGCUUGUUGUCAUAAAUUUAAAACAGAACUCAGAUCAGCACAAAAAAUUAUUGCACUGUUACAAGAAGAGAUAAACACGCCCAAUCGUACUCGCCAGAAGAGAUACUGUCCAACAUCAAGAUUGAGCCCGAUGACAGCGAACUGGAGCUACAGGUAGCCCUCAAGAAAGCACGGAGACUGAAGCUGCAGGAGGCUGUUACAGAAUCAAAGAACAGUGUAGAAAAGGUGGCAGAGUCAGUACUGGAGAGAAGCUCAGAAGGAAACACGGAAGGCGGUUCCAUUGUGCUGAAUGCUACCGCAGAAUUCUGCCAUGCGUUGGGUGACAUCCCCCUUUAUGGUCUGGCUGGCAACGGAUGAGGACGCUCAGGAACUAGACUUUGAGAGGGAAAUGAUUGAAGAGAAGA